rnacentral:rRNA from 1 species
CURCGGGKRRAAGCGGAGSACCUUYGGGCUUCSCSSGAUUGAAUGASCCGAUGUCGGAUUARCUAGUUGGCGGGGUAAAGSCCCCACCAAGGSGGACSRUCCGUAGCUGKUCUGAGAGGAUGAUCAGCCACACUGGGAACUGAGMCMCGGUCCAGAYUCYUACGGRRGAGCAGCAGUGGGGAAUAUUGGACAAUGGGCGCAAGCCUGAUCCCAGCCCAUGCCGCGUGGGUGAAGAAGGCCUUCGGGUUUGUAAAGCCCUUUUGUUGGGAAAGAAAAGCAGUCGGUUAAUACCCGAUUGUUCUGACGGUACCCAAAAGAAUAAGCACCGGCUAACUUCGUGCCAGCAGCCGCGGUAAUACGAAGGGUGCAAGCGUUACUCGGAAUUACUGGGCGUAAAGCGUGCGUAGGUGGUGGUUUAAGUCUGUUGUGAAAGCCCUGGGCUCAACCUGGGAAUUGCAGUGGAUACUGGGUCACUAGAGUGUGGUAGAGGGUAGCGGAAUUCCCGGUGUAGCAGUGAAAUGCGUAGAGAUCGGGAGGAACAUCCGUGGCGAAGGCGGCUACCUGGACCAACACUGACACUGAGGCACGAAAGCGUGGGGAGCAAACAGGAUUAGAUACCCUGGUAGUCCACGCCCUAAACGAUGCGAACUGGAAUGUUGGGUGCAAUUUGGCACGCAGUAUCGAAGCUAACGCGUUAAGUUCGCCGCCUGGGGGAGUACGGUCGCAAGACUGAAACUCAAAGGAAUUGACGGGGGCCCGCACAAGCGGUGGAGKAAUGUGGGUUUAAUUCGAUGCAACGCGAAGAACCUUACCUGGUCUUGACAUCCACGGAACUUUCCMRARAUGGGAUUGGUGGCCUUCGGGAACCGUGAGACARGUGCUGCCAUGGCUGUCGUCAGCUCSUGUCGUGGAGAWGGUUUGGGGUUAAKUCCCSCMACSAAGCGCAACCCCUUGUYCUUUAKUUGCCRSCMSGUAAUGGGUGGGRASWCCUAAAGGAGAC